CAAGGUGUCACUGUGUCCUCAAAGCUUCAGCUUGGCCUACACCAGCACCCUGAGCUGACUGCUUUCUGAAGUGAAACACCCACAGUGUACAGUGAAAGUUACUGCUCCCGUCAGUCCAGUCCAGUGUGACAUUCGGAGAGAGAUUUUUCUGGAUGUCUGGAGCCCAGAUAUGAAGAGAAAAAAAAGAAGAAAAAAAAGAAAAGAAAUCUCAACACAGCUCUUGAAUGAGGAUGUUGCUGGAAGCUCUGUGUUUGUCCUGCUCUUACAGUGAUGAUAAACUGAAUUCAAGCUUGACUGCACUGAGACCCAAUUAGAAGAGCAGGAAUAUAUAAUACAUCAUUCAGAGAAAUGAUUAACUUGAGGAUCAUGAUCCUGAAUACUGCGUUUCCCAGAGGAGUCGACAAAAGGAAGCUUCACUGCAGUAUUCAUGUGAGUUUUGUUUGUGUGUUUAAAUGAGUGUUUGUUUCAUUUUUUGUUUUGCUUAUUUUUGUGCUGGUCUGAUGUUGGUCUGGUUUUGGUGGUCUUUCUUGUGAUUCUGACUGACCAAGCAAGUCGUUUGCCUAAUUUCAGCCAUAAUUGACAUUUAUUAUAUACUCAGUGUUCAGUAUAUUUGGAUGUUGAGUGCAUUUUGAUUUGUCUGUGUGCACAUAAU